AGAUUGAACGCUGGCGGCAUGCCUUACACAUGCAAGUCGAACGGCAGCAUGACGUGUGGCAAUACACGUUGAUGGCGAGUGGCGAACGGGUGAGUAAUAUAUCGGAACAUGUCCCGUAGCGGGGGAUAACCUAUCGAAAGAUGGACUAAUACCGCAUACGCUCUACGGAGGAAAGCGGGGGUCGCAAGACCUCGCACUAUGGGAGUGGCCGAUAUCGGAUUAGCUAGUUGGCGGGGUAAAACGCCCACCAAGGCGACGAUCCGUAGCUGGUCUGAGAGGAUGAUCAGCCACACUGGAACUGAGACACCGGUCCAGACUCCGUACGGGAGCAGCAGUGGGGAAUUUUGGACAAGUGGGCGCGUAAGCCUGACUCCAGCCAGUCGCCGCGUGAGUGAAGAGCCGUUCGGUAGUAAAGCUUCGUUACGUCGAAGGUAAC
rnacentral:rRNA from 1 species